rnacentral:rRNA from 1 species
AUGCAGUCGAGCGGUAAGGCUCCUUCGGGAGUACACGAGCGGCGAACGGGUGAGUAACACGUGAACAAUCUGCCCUUCUCAUCGGAAUAACCAUUGGAAACGAUGGCUAAUACCGAAUAUGACGACGGAUCGCAUGAUCUGUCGUGGAAAGCUCCGGCGGAGAAGGAUGAGUUCGCGGCCUAUCAGCUUGUUGGUGAGGUAAUAGCUCACCAAGGCGAUGACGGGUAGCCGGCCUGAGAGGGUGACCGGCCACACUGGGACUGAGACACGGCCCAGACUCCUACGGGAGGCAGCAGUGGGGAAUAUUGGACAAUGGGCGAAAGCCUGAUCCAGCAACGCCGCGUGAGGGAUGACGGCCUUCGGGUUGUAAACCUCUUUCAGCGGGGACGAAGCGAAAGUGACGGUACCCGCAGAAGAAGGACCGGCCAACUACGUGCCAGCAGCCGCGGUAAUACGUAGGGUCCGAGCGUUGUCCGGAAUUAUUGGGCGUAAAGGGCUCGUAGGCGGUUUGUCACGUCGGGAGUGAAAACUCAGGGCUCAACCCUGAGCGUGCUUUCGAUACGGGCAGACUAGAGGUAUUCAGGGGAGAACGGAAUUCCUGGUGUAGCGGUGGAAUGCGCAGAUAUCAGGAGGAACACCGGUGGCGAAGGCGGUUCUCUGGGAAUUACCUGACGCUGAGGAGCGAAAGCAUGGGGAGCGAACAGGAUUAGAUACCCUGGUAGAAUCACUAGUGAAUUC